AGCCAGCAGCCGCGGUAAAACGUAGGAGGCGAGCGUUAUCCGGAUUUACUGGGUGUAAAGCGCGUGCAGGCGGUUUGUUAAGUUGGAUGUGAAAGCUCCUGGCUCAACUGGGAGAGGUCGUUCAAGACUGGCAGACUGGAGAGCAGUAGGGGAAGGUGGAAUUCCGGGUGUAGUGGUGAAAUGCGUAGAUAUCCGGAGGAACACCAGUGGCGAAAGCGGCCUUCUGGACUGCAUCUGACGCUCAGACGCGAAAGCUAGGGGAGCAAACGGGAUUAGAGACCCCGGUAGUCCUAGCUGUAAACGAUGUGAACUUGGCGCUGGACGGGUAAAACCGAUCAGUGCCGAAGCAAACGCGAUAAGUUCACCACCUGGGGACUACGGCCGCAAGGUUAAAACUUAAAGGAAUUGGCGGGGGAC
rnacentral:rRNA from 1 species